AUGAAAUGGUGCAGUAUCACAAAAUGCAAGAUAACAUUCAGCUUAUAAAAAGCUCACGCCAUUUUCUUUGAGACCACAGUGUGAUUUUGAAUCGACUUAAUUCACUAGCAAAAUGAACAAAGUUUUUAUUUUAUUCGUGUUGGCGGUUGCAUUUGUUGCUCAUGCCCACUGUCACGCGUUGAAGGUUGAGAGCCGAUUGGCUUGCGGAGCUAAUGAAAUAUUAAAUGAUUGUGCUGGCGAUAGAGAAUGUGAUAGAACUUGCGCAAACCAGAACGAACAGCUCUUUUGCAUGCCAGCAUGUGAAGAACGAUGUACCUGCAUCGAUGGAUUCCUCCGAAACGCUGCUAAUGCUUGCGUUGCCUCUUGUUAAAAUUGGAAAUGUUUUUUAAAUCUAAUAAAAAAAAAAAAUGCAAGCAAU